ACGUGGACAACCUGCCUCAAGGCUGGGGAUAAAGUUGGAAACAGAUGCUAAUACCGAAUAAAACUUAGUGUCGCAUGACAAAAAGUUAAAAGGCGCUUCGGCGUCACCUAGAGAUGGAUCCGCGGUGCAUUAGUUAGUUGGUGGGGUAAAGGCCUACCAAGACAAUGAUGCAUAGCCGAGUUGAGAGACUGAUCGGCCACAUUGGGACUGAGACACGGCCCAAACUCCUACGGGAGGCUGCAGUAGGGAAUCUUCCACAAUGGGCGAAAGCCUGAUGGAGCAACGCCGCGUGUGUGAUGAAGGCUUUCGGGUCGUAAAGCACUGUUGUAUGGGAAGAACAGCUAGUAUAUUUUUAUGAUUUUAGUUUGACGGUACCAUACCAGAAAGGGACGGCUAAAUACGUGCCAGCAGCCGCGGUAAUACGUAUGUCCCGAGCGUUAUCCGGAUUUAUUGGGCGUAAAGCGAGCGCAGACGGUUUAUUAAGUCUGAUGUGAAAGCCCGGAGCUCAACUCCGGAAUGGCAUUGGAAACUGGUUAACUUGAGUGCAGUAUA
rnacentral:rRNA from 1 species